rnacentral:rRNA from 1 species
AUUGAACGCUGGCGGCAGGCUUAACACAUGCAAGUCGAGCGAGCGGCGGACGGGUGAGUAAUGUCUGGGAAACUGCCUGAUGGAGGGGGCUAACUACUGGAAAAGGUAGAUAAUACAGCAUACCAUCAGAUGUGCCCAGAUGGGAUUAGCGAGUAGGUGGGGUAAAGGAUCACCUAGGCGACGAUCCCUAGCUGGUCUGAGAGGAUGACCGGCCAAACUGGAACUGAGACACGGCCCAGACUCCUCCGUGAGGCAGCAGUGGGGAAGAUUGCACAAUGGGCGCAAGCCUGAUGCAGCCAUGCCGCGUGUGUGAAGAAGGCCUUCGGGUUGUAAAGCUCUUUCAGCGAGGAGGCGUUACUCGCACAGGAAGCACCGGCUAACUCCGUGCCAGCAGCCGCGGUAAUUC